CCCUCUCCUUGGGAAGACAACGCCAUAUCUGGACACAUCCCAUCUUAAUUUUUCUUCUUCAUUUUCCAUUGCUUUUGCUCCUCCCUUAUUUCUGAUGUGUCAGCUUCCGCAUGUCCCCUAGCUCUUCCGCUUGCAGGGAUCACUUUGUGAUGAUUGAGAUCUACACUGGCUCAGAGCCCCAUUCCACAGAUGGAGGGAUUCCAAGUGUCCUCUGAUGACCUACAGGGAUUCAGGCAGAGAAGAGUUCACGUGAGGACAUAGUGAGAGGAUGGUCAUCCACAAGCCAGAAAGAAAGACUUCACCAGAAAGCAAACCUCAU